UAAGGAAUAUUGGACAAUGGGCGCAAGCCUGAUCCAGCCAUGCCGCGUGCAGGAUGAAGGUGCUCUGCAUUGUAAACUGCUUUUGUUUGGGAAUAAACCCUUCUACGUGUAGAGGGCUGAAUGUACCAAAAGAAUAAGGGACGGCUAACUUCGUGCCAGCAGCCGCGGUAAUACGAAGGUCCCGAGCGUUAUCCGGAUUUAUUGGGUUUAAAGGGUGCGUAGGCGGGUUAUUAAGUCAGUGGUGAAAGCCUUCAGCUCAACUGAAGAAUUGCCAUUGAUACUGAUGAUCUUGAGUAUGAUUGAGGUAGGCGGAAUGUGUCAUGUAGCGGUGAAAUGCUUAGAUAUGACACAGAACACCGAUUGCGAAGGCAGCUUACUAAGUCAUAACUGACGCUGAUGCACGAAAGCGUGGGGAGCAAACAG
rnacentral:rRNA from 1 species